CCCACUUCGGGAAAGUCAGGAUGGUGGUGCCUUCGCUGAAGCUUCAGGACCUCAUCGAAGAGAUUCGCGGGGCCAAGACUCAGGCCCAGGAGCGGGAGUGACCUGAGCCAGGGGAUUCAGCCAGUACAAGGCCUGGCCUUGUGCACUUUGAGCACCAUGGGCUCUGCUGAGAUGUGCCGAGACCUGGCCCCAGAGGUGGAGAAACUGCUCCUGCAGCCCAGUCCCUACGUGCGCAAGAAGGCUAUUCUGACUGCAGUGCACAUGAUCCGGAAGGUCCCUGAACUCUCCAGUGUCUUCCUCCCACCCUGUGCCCAACUGCUUCAUGAGCGUCACCAUGGUAAGGCUGUGGGGCCCCCCAUCCUUUGCUUCAGGUCUAUGGACAGAAGAAUUGAAAAUCGGAUGGGAACCCCAGCUCAUAGGAGAAUGGUAGUGCACACACACAGGCACACACGCAAUAGACUCUCUUGCCCCUGGCCCCCACCAUUCACUUCCCCGACCCUGACCCCAGGCAUCCUGCUGGGCACCAUCACGCUGAUCACGGAGCUCUGCGAACGAAGCCCUGCAGCCCUCAGGCACUUCCGAAAGGUGGUACCCCAGCUGGUACACAUCCUCCGGACUCUGGUGACAAUGGGAUACUCCACAGAACACAGCAUAUCUGGAGUCAGCGACCCCUUCCUGCAGGUCCAGAUACUUCGUCUGCUUCGGAUCCUGGGCCGGAACCACGAGGAGAGCAGUGAGACCAUGAAUGACUUGCUGGCCCAGGUGGCCACUAACACGGACACCAGCCGAAAUGCCGGAAAUGCGGUCCUGUUUGAGACAGUACUCACCAUCAUGGAUAUCCGCUCUGCAGCUGGCCUACGGGUUCUAGCUGUCAACAUUCUUGGCCGCUUCCUACUCAACAGUGACAGGAACAUUAGGUAUGUAGCCCUGACAUCACUGCUUCGACUGGUGCAGUCUGAUCACAGUGCUGUGCAGCGGCAUCGGCCCACUGUGGUGGAAUGUCUACGGGAAACUGAUGCCUCCCUCAGCCGGAGAGCCCUGGAACUAAGCCUGGCUCUGGUAAAUAGCUCCAAUGUGCGAGCCAUGAUGCAAGAGCUGCAGGCCUUUCUGGAGUCCUGCCCUCCUGACCUACGGGCUGACUGUGCCUCAGGCAUCCUGCUGGCUGCAGAGAGGUGAGGUGCCCAGGAGUCGAAGAGGGUAGAAUCUGGGGAGCGUCAGUACCAGGACUGAUGAGCCAUAUAUCCCCUAGGUUUGCUCCAACCAAACGCUGGCACAUAGACACCAUCCUGCAUGUGCUGACAACGGCGGGCACCCAUGUGCGGGAUGAUGCAGUGGCCAACCUGACCCAGCUGAUUGGGGGGGCCCAGGAGCUACAUGCCUACUCUGUGCGCCGCCUCUACAAUGCCCUGGCAGAAGACAUUUCCCAGCAACCACUGGUGCAGGUGGCAGCCUGGUGCAUUGGGGAGUAUGGGGACCUCCUGCUGGCGGGGAACUGCGAGGAGAUUGAGCCCCUUCAGGUGGACGAAGAGGAAGUGCUGGCAUUGCUGGAAAAGGUGCUGCAGUCCCAUAUGUCCCUGCCAGCCACUCGAGGAUAUGCCCUCACAGCCCUCAUGAAGCUCAGCACUCGCCUCUGUGGGGACAACAACCGCAUCCGCCAGGUGGUGUCCAUCUACGGGAGCUGCUUGGACGUGGAGCUGCAGCAGCGGGCUGUGGAGUAUGACACACUCUUCCGGAAAUACGACCACAUGAGGGCUGCCAUCCUGGAAAAAAUGCCUCUUGUGGAGCGAGAUGGCCCUCAGGCUGAUGAGGAAGCAAAGGAAAGCAAAGAAGCAGCCCAGCUUUCAGAAGCAGCCCCAGUGCCCACAGAGCCCCAGGUGAGAAGGCUAGAAACUCUGGGGUAGGAAGAUGGGCUGAGCUUCAUACCCAGCCCUGCCCCUUCUGUCCCUUCUGCCAGGCCUCACAGCUCCUGGAUCUGCUAGAUCUCUUGGAUGGGGCUUCUGGGGAUGUCCAGCAUCCUCCCCCUCUGGACCCCUCCCCAGGAGGUGCCCUGAUACACCUGCUUGACCUUCCCUGUGUACCUCCACCCCCAGCUCCCAUCCCAGAUCUCAAAGUGUUUGAGCGUGAGGGAGUACAGCUGAAUCUGUCUUUCAUUCGACCCCCUGAAAACCCUGCUUUGCUGUUAAUCACCGUCACUGCCACCAACUUCUCAGAGGGUGAUGUCACCCAUUUCAUCUGCCAGGCUGCUGUGCCCAAGAGUCUCCAGCUGCAGCUGCAGGCCCCCAGUGGGAACACAGUUCCAGCUCGGGGUGGCCUUCCUAUCACCCAGCUCUUCAGAAUCCUCAAUCCUAACAAGGCCCCCCUGCGGCUAAAGCUGCGCCUCACCUACGACCACUUUCACCAGUCGGUGCAGGAGAUCUUUGAGGUGAACAACUUGCCUGUGGAAUCGUGGCAGUAACUGUCUCCACUCACAGCCUGAAAUUCUCCUGUGUCCCAAACCCCAGGGGGCCCCAGCAGCUUCGAACCUACACCUGAGGGCUACCAGCAGGUGGCGCUCUGGCUUUGCACUGCAAAAACUGGGGACCAGCCCCCUUCUCCCACAAAUAAAGCCCAAUAAAGCCUGAGAAGUGA
rnacentral:sRNA from 1 species